CGCGGCCUAUCAGCUUGUUGGUGGGGUAAUGGCCUACCGAGGCGACGACGGGUAGCCGGCCUGAGAGGGCGACCGGCCACACUGGGACUGAGACACGGCCCAGACUCCUACGGGAGGCAGCAGUGGGGAAUAUUGCACAAUGGGCGAAAGCCUGAUGCAGCGACGCCGCGUGAGGGAUGACGGCCUUCGGGUUGUAAACCUCUUUCAGCAGGGAAGAAGCGAAAGUGACGGUACCUGCAGAAGAAGCGCCGGCUAACUACGUGCCAGCAGCCGCGGUAAUACGUAGGGCGCAAGCGUUGUCCGGAAUUAUUGGGCGUAAAGAGCUCGUAGGCGGCUUGUCACGUCGGAUGUGAAAGCCCGAGGCUUAACCUCGGGUCUGCAUUCGAUACGGGCUAGCUAGAGUGUGGUAGGGGAGAUCGGAAUUCCUGGUGUAGCGGUGGAAUGCGCAGAUAUCAGGAGGAACACCAAUGGCGAAGGCAGGUCUCUGGGCCAUAACUGACACUGAGGAGCGAAAGCGCGGGGAGCGAACAGGAUUAGAUACCCUGGUAGUCCGCGCCGUAAACGGUGGGCACUAGCUGUGAGGACCUUCCACGGUCUUCGCGACGCAGCAAACGCAUUAAGUGCCCCGCCUGGGGAGUACGG
rnacentral:rRNA from 1 species